GGCGCAUAGGGCCCAGGGGCGGGGCUUCGGUCUCUGCAUCAGUUGCCCUAGACCUCCUGAAGCCUUGCAGAAGUUUGGGAAGUGAAGUGGUAUGUUGAAGAUGGGAAUCUUUGGACCCGUCGGACUGUAACAGUCUGAGGAAAUUAAACCUUAGACAGAGCUUCAUGUGCUAGAGUCAAUCAUAACAGGAAACCGGGGACAGGAGCUCACACAGGAACCUGGAAGCAGGAACUGAAGCAGAGACCCCAGAGGAAUGCUGCUUACUGGCUUUUCCCUCUGGUUUGCUCGUCUACUUUUCUUCUACAGCAGAGGCCCACCUGCCUAGGGAGGACAUCUGACUUUCGUGAAGAUUUCCAUGGAACCCACUCUCAGUAUGUGUGUUCACCUGCCAACAG